rnacentral:sRNA from 2 species
GCCGUUGAGAAAGAGUGAGAAGACUCAACGAGUCUCUUGUUUAUUGCGCACUUGUCCGCUUGGAUGAUAGACGAUAAGAAUAUGAAUCUGCCUACGUGUCUACAGACUACGCCAAUGAAGCUAAAUCAGAGAAUCAGAGUAUCAAACAUGAAAAGACCCGCAAAUUAGGUAGCAGAAUUCCCAAAAAUGUGAUCUGUGCAGUUCAGUCGGGUCCAGUCCAUCCUCUGUAUCUAUGGACGAUGUAUCAGUAACUUACCGUUUCGGCAAGCCCUCGCUCAGCUUCCAUCCCAGGUCCCACAGCCACAGCUGCUUGCUCCAA